rnacentral:lncRNA from 1 species
CAGAAAGUGUACACAGACCAUAAAUUUCCAGCCCCGCCCGGCGCGGCUCUCGGAAGCCGGGGUCCGCCCGCCUCUCGCGGACUCCCCGCGCCGGGCCCCUCACUCGAGCCGGGGGGACGGCGGCGGGCAGCAGAGCGCUGCUGGGAGCCGCGGCGGCGCCUGUCCGGGUCGCCUCUCCGCUCUGCGGCCGGAAGGGCUGCAUAGCAGCGCUAGGAGCCGGGCCACAGCUUCCAGGAGUCUCCUCUACGCAGCCGAGGAGGUUGGGUUGGAGAGAUGGAGCGGCGCGGGAGACGGAAGAGACCUGGGGGAGGCCAGCAGAGGAUGGAACGAGGACGAGCUUUUCAUCCCAUUUGUUCAACCACAAAACUGCGCUCUUGGCGUGCAGGACAGAAGCUAGCACUGGCAGCGGGGACUCUGAGGGAGGCAGGGUCCAGGAGACUGGUUUACUUCGCUGCGGAGAACCCGGAGGAAGCCUUACAAGGACGAGCUCCCCGGCGCUGCCCACCCGCGCGGGGCAGAUGUCUGGACCAACCUAGGCGACUUCGAGGCCUGAGGGCCCUGACCUUGGCCUCGGGGCUUGGCCGGCGGGUUGAGUAUCCAAGAAGACAGAGGACUCGGGACCCUCCACUAGACCCAAAAGAGUGGUGAACGGGGCGGAGUCAGGUGACUCCCGGAAGCCUGAGGCUUUGAGCGGGAUCUGCUUGCGGAGGGGGCGGGGGAGGGGGAAGGUGGAAGAUUGGCCUCGGGGCGCCUCGUGGACACUGCCUUGGACGGCGUGCACGGCCUGUGAUUCUCUCCAUGGAGGGAUCCAGAAAAUAGCUGGAUGCAGUGACCCUUGCCUGUGGGGAUGGCUAGAGGCGCAGUCUUAUUCACGCAUUAGUUUAUUUGCUCGUUCAUUUCUUCAUCUGCUCACUUCUUGAGCUCCCAUCACGUGUUAGGAACUAUGCGGUGUGCACUCUUCACCCCGAUUCUGACAAAUACAAAUAAACAGCCCUGACUAAUCAAAGUGAGGCUGAAAUUCACUGACCCGAAAAUCAUCCGACGCGAGUAAGGGGGUCGUGAGGGUAGCUCCGGAAUCCCACCACAUAGCCAACGCUGCUUCCCAGCAGAGGGAGAGGUGCAGAUUCACUGAAGUCAGCUCAUCACCCCGUCUUUCUGGCUCUGCACUACCUUUCCUUGAUCCCAGAGAUGCUCCCGUAAGCCCCAGCGCCCUGCGCCGCGAGGCCCGAGUGGGGUCCGAAGGAAUCACAGAAAGCCUCGAUGGCUUUAGUUUUGAUCCUUCUGCCGACCGCUAGCAACAUGACUGUGGACGAGUCAUUCAACUUACGAGAUGCGGCCAACGGUGUCCAUCUAUGCGCAACUGCCGGGAUGACCUGGAGCUAACAGCUGUGUUGAGCCCUGCUCGUGAAUUCGUUUUCUCGCUGCUCUGUGACGGCCUUAGUAUCGCGGACCCUUGUGUGUAUACUCAGCCAGAUGAUUGAGGGCUUCCAAGUCCACUCCUCCCGGGGUCACCGCUCGGUAACUCCGUACUUUGUUCUUAGCUUUCUCCUGUGUUCACAGUGCUAAGGAGGCGAUCACAUUGUAUAGGAUCUACUGAGUCUACAAAUAAUCACAAGGGCAGCAGUAAUUGUGUUAUUCGUUUAUUCAAUAAACACUUUCUGAGGAGCCUUCCCUGUGCCAAGCUCUGCCAUAGCUGUAAAAUUUCUCCAACCGCGCAGCAGAGCCCAGCCAGGCGCUCAAGUGCCUUUCCCUGUUUAAAAGGAGAAUUGAUGUCCGGUUUCCGUUUUGAACACCCUCCCUGUACGCAGUCAGUUAAGAACAUUAAAAAAAAUUCCUGAAGUUCCAUGUGUCCUGACAGGAUCUUAGCAGCGGGCACAUAUUUUUCCCUCCUUGGGCCCCUGACACUUCCUUUAAAGCCAAAGUGUCAGAAGAUUCUAGCUUCUUUCCCUUCCAACUCCCAAAGGAAAGUCCCAACCACACCCACAAGAGUCCUAUGGGGCUCCUGCUGUGUGCACAGAGUACAGUGCUGGGAGUACCAAGAGGAAGAAGUGUCAGUGGGCAUCUUGCAAGGCAACCCCUGCUGUCAUCUAGCAGCGCAUCCAAACACUCUGGGCUGCUUCUUAAAGGAUUUCCCCAGGGACACUGUGUCUGCACCACAUUAAAGAUCCGCCUGUGCAUUUAAUUUUCUGGAAAGUAGGGAUGGUCAUGCAUUUUUUUCCAACUGUGCAAAUACCUCCAAGGACCUCAAAUACUGCAAUGGGUAAACGAAUAAAUGAAUAUAAUAACAUCUAAGCCUAGAGCGUUGAUUUGAUGCCGCUCACUAUUCUCAUUUCACAUUUGAUAAUGCAAUUAAUUGUCAAUGACUUGUAAGUUAGGUAACUUCGAUUAUCUCAGGUAAUUUCAUUUCCUGCUGUACAGAUGAGGAAACUGAAAGUCAAAUGAUUAAUUUCCCAAAGUCUCACCGUUAGUUAUUAGUGAAUGAAUCGAUGUUCCUUGGGCUAGUUUGGCUUCCCCUAUUCGGGCUUGGGAUCAGGUAUGUGUGCUCCUUUUGACACGCAUGACUUGGUGCCCCACCCGCCAGCCUCUUCCCAUACCGGAUCCCCAGAAAGUGUUCAUUGGGGUCACCCAGCUGCCAGCUCUGAGUGCACCUCAGGUGGUGCUCAAAAGAGGGAUGAUCAAUUAUCUGCCCCGGAUGGGACCAGGUCCAAGAGCAGGGAAGAGAGGAGUCGGUGUGGCUAGGUAGCCACCAUCAGACCUGGCACCCUGUGCUGCCCAGAAUCCCAACCAUCAGCAACGAUCGACGGAAGCGGAAAAGCACCAAGGAUGAGGAGGUAUUCUGUGAACAGGGCGCGGCUGGGGGUCUUAGACACUAUAAGCAAAGCUAAGCCUGCACCUAGGGGGUGCAGGCUGAAGGGCAGGGGUGUCAAUCCCCGGGGAAGCCCAGACCUGCGGCUCUUGAAGGACCCCUCUUCUUUGGCACCUUAAGAAGUACUAACCCCACGGCCAGACCGAGAGUUGGCACUCAUUCUCUAGAGGAACUGGGCAAACGUCAAGACUCCUGACCUUCGUGGCCUCGUCCUUUAAAAUGAAGUAAUCGCACCUGCGGGACUUUUCAUCUUCGUUCCCAAAGUGAAUGAGGGCAAGGCAGCUAAGGAACCCAGGGGCCUAGGGCUUCUCUAAACUCGGAGGGCUGCAGCUGGCCUCGCAGAGUAUGUUCUCCGUUAGAACCGGGUGGGAUGGGAGACUGUUAUCUUACAAAGUGCACCCGGUGUGAGUAGUUGGGAAUCCCAGGGGGCGCUGCAGGUUUUGAUACUCCAAGAAGAAGCCGCCGCGGAGAAUGCGGGUCUUUGGCACGCCGGCCAAUCCCACCGCAACCUCGAAGGUGUGGCUGUGGGCCAGAUAUGAGCACACUAAACCGUGG